CGACUUGAACUUCCUCUUCCUGUGGCGCUUUGGAGCAGCGGCGGUUGACAUGUCUUCAAGCUGGCCAGAGCUGUGAUGGAGUGCAGGCGGAAGCUCGCGCA
rnacentral:lncRNA from 1 species